GUGGUAGAUUGAGGCCGGGCAGCCGGCUACAAGGAAGGUAAAAGCCAUGUGAGGGAGUCCAGAAGGAAAUCGGAUAGGAGUAUAGGGCGGAGUAGAGGUAGGCAAGGAGGAAACUAAUAAAGAAGGAGGAGGCCAACGGAGAGNNNNNNNNNNNNNNNNNNNNAAAAAAAAAAAAAAGUAAUACCAGUGAUGUCAAAAAAAAAAAAAAGUAAUACCAGUGAUGUCAUCCGACGGGCACUGAGAGGGAGGAGCUUCUCGUAGGCGGUGGUAGAUUGAGGCCGGGCGGCCGGCUACAAAGAAGGUAAAAGCCAUGUGAGGGAGUCCAGAAGGAAAUCGGAUGGGAGUAUAGGGCGGAGUAGAGGUAGGCAAGGAGGAAACUGAUAAAGAAGGAGGAGGCCAACGGAGAGGCGGCGGAGGAGAAGGAGAUCAGUGGCAGUAGUUGAUUGAUGGUGGGUCGAGCUAGAAUUUUGGAAAAAUAAGUGGAAUCCAAUAACGCUUAUUAGCGUCGUCUUUUUAUUGACUACUGAUGACGCUUUUAAGUAUCAUAAAAUAAUGACGCUUUUAAGCAUCAUAAAAUAAUGACGCUUUUAAGUAUCAUAAAAUAACGACGCUUACCAAAAAGUAGUUUUACUCGCCGACAUUUUUAAGCGUCAUAAUUUGCCAAUACUAAUAAGCUACAUCAGCAAAUUUUGGCAUGGUACGCAACUUAAUAAUGCUUCUUUGGUAAAUUUACGUCAAAAUUUCCUCUUUUUCCAGUAGUGCCCCCAGUCUCAUAUAUCUUCAUCUCAGCCUCAAGCGUCCUAAACUGCUUUUUUUUCUCCUAGUGGUAGCUUUUCCAAACAUUCUGAAUGGCCUCAACCCAAGUCAACUAACAGGAGGAAUCAAAAAAUUGCAUCAUGUUGAUGAUAGGGCAAUCUCCAUGCCCAACUUAAAACUCAUACCCUACAGCUUCGAAUUAAGUUUAGGUCCUUCAACAAAAGCUCUCUUUUUCAUCGCCCAGGUGAACCAGAUAUUCAUUUUCUGCUGUCAAAGAUUUUUGCUUGGAAGUUGUAAAGGGUACGACUUCUGCUAACUUCCAAGAUGGACCAGCCUCCGAAGCAGUAAUAACUCUGAUUUGCAGUC
rnacentral:lncRNA from 1 species